rnacentral:rRNA from 1 species
AAUGGGUCAGCGACUUAUAUUUUGUAGCAAGGUUAACCGUAUAGGGGAGCCGUAGGGAAACCGAGUCUUAACUGGGCGAAUAGUUGCAAGGUAUAGACCCGAAACCCGGUGAUCUAGCCAUGGGCAGGUUGAAGGUUGGGUAACACUAACUGGAGGACCGAACCGACUAAUGUUGAAAAAUUAGCGGAUGACUUGUGGCUGGGGGUGAAAGGCCAAAUCAAACCGGGGAGAUAGCUGGUUCUCCCCGAAAGCUAUUUAGGUAGCGCCUCGUGAACUCAUCUUCGGGGGUAGAGCACUGUUUUCGGCUAGGGGGCCAUCCCGGCUUACCAAACGAUGCAAACUCCGAAUACCGAAGAAUGUUAUCACGGGAGACACACGGCGGGUGCUAACGUCCGUCGUGAAGAGGGAAACAACCCAGACCGCCAGCUAAGGUCCCAAAGUCAUGGUUAAGUGGGAAACGAUGUGGGAAGGCAUAGACAGCCAGGAUGUUGGCUUAGAAGCAGCCAUCAUUUAAAGAAAGCGUAAUAGCUCACUGGUCGAGUCGGCCUGCGCGGAAGAUGUAACGGGGCUAAACCAUGCACCGAAGCUGCGGCAGCGACGCUUAGGCGUUGUUGGGUAGGGGAGCGUUCUGUAAGCCGUUGAAGGUGAACUGUGAGGUUUGCUGGAGGUAUCAGAAGUGCGAAUGCUGACAUAAGUAACGAUAAAGCGGGUGAAAAACCCGCUCGCCGGAAGACCAAGGGUUCCUGUCCAACGUUAAUCGGGGCAGGGUGAGUCGACCCCUAAGGCGAGGCCGAAAGGCGUAGUCGAUGGGAAACAGGUUAAUAUUCCUGUACUCGGUGUUACUGCGAAGGGGGGACGGAGAAGGCUAGGCUAGCCGGGCGACGGUUGUCCCGGUUUAAGCGUGUAGGGGGUGUUCCUGGUAAAUCCGGAACGCUAUCAACCCUGAGGCGUGAUGACGAUGCACUACGGUGCAGAAGUAGUUGAUGCCCUGCUUCCAGGAAAAGCCUCUAAGCAUCAGGUAACAUCAAAUCGUACCCCAAACCGACACAGGUGGUCAGGUAGAGAAUACCAAGGCGCUUGAGAGAACUCGGGUGAAGGAACUAGGCAAAAUGGUGCCGUAACUUCGGGAGAAGGCACGCUGGCGCGUAGGUGAAGAGACUUGCUCUCGGAGCUGAAGCCAGUCGCAGAUACCAGCUGGCUGCAACUGUUUAAUAAAAACACAGCACUGUGCAAACACGAAAGUGGACGUAUACGGUGUGACGCCUGCCCGGUGCUGGAAGGUUAAUUGAUGGGGUCAGCCGCAAGGCGAAGCUCUUGAUCGAAGCCCCAGUAAACGGCGGCCGUAACUAUAACGGUCCUAAGGUAGCGAAAUUCCUUGUCGGGUAAGUUCCGACCUGCACGAAUGGCGUAAUGAUGGCCAGGCUGUCUCCACCCGAGACUCAGUGAAAUUGAACUCGCUGUGAAGAUGCAGUGUACCCGCGGCAAGACGGAAAGACCCCGUGAACCUUUACUAUAGCUUGACACUGAACAUUGAGCCUUGAUGUGUAGGAUAGGUGGGAGGCUUUGAAGUGUGGACGCCAGUCUGCAUGGAGCCAACCUUGAAAUACCACCCUUUAAUGUUUGAUGUUCUAACUCGGCCCCCAUAAUCUGGGGUGAGGACAGUGUCUGGUGGGUAGUUUGACUGGGGCGGUCUCCUCCCAAAGAGUAACGGAGGAGCACGAAGGUUAGCUAAUCACGGUCGGACAUCGUGAGGUUAGUGCAAAGGCAUAAGCUAGCUUGACUGCGAGAGUGACGGCUCGAGCAGGUACGAAAGUAGGUCUUAGUGAGUCCGGUGGUUCUGAAUGGAAGGGCCAUCGCUCAACGGAUAAAAGGUACCUCCGGGGAUAACAGGCUGAUACCGCCCAAGAGUUCAUAUCGACGGCGGUGUUUGGCACCUCGAUGUCGGCUCAUCACAUCCUGGGGCUGAAGUAGGUCCCAAGGGUAUGGCUGUUCGCCAUUUAAAGUGGUACGCGAGCUGGGUUUAGAACGUCGUGAGACAGUUCGGUCCCUAUCUGCCGUGGGCGUUGGAAGAUUGAGAGGGGUUGCUCCUAGUACGAGAGGACCGGAGUGAACGCACCACUGGUUGUUCGGGUUGUCAUGCCAAUGGCACUGCCGGUAGCUAAGUGCGGAAAAGAUAAGCGCUGAAAGCAUCUAAGCGCGAAACUUGCCUCGAGAUGAGUCUUCCCUGGGCCUUUAAGGCCCCUGAAGGAACGUUUAAGACUAAGACGUUGAUAGGCUGGGUGUGUAAGUGCAGCGAUGCAUUGAGCUAACCAGUACUAAUGAUCCGUGAGGCUUAACCUU